rnacentral:Y_RNA from 1 species
UACAUGUCUGAGAGCAGUGUGUUACAACUAAUCACAACCAGUUACAGAUUACUUUGUUCCUUCCUCUAUUUCAACUGCUCCACUUGACCAGUCAUAA